rnacentral:lncRNA from 1 species
GAAAGAUCUCCCAUGCUCAUGGAUUGGCAGGAUUAAUUUAGUAAAAAUGGCCAUUUUACCAAAAGCAAUCUACAGAUUCAAUGCAAUCCCCAUCAAAAUACCAAUCCAAUUCUUCAAAGAGUUAGACAGAACAAUUUGCAAAUUCAUCUGGAAUAACAAAAAACCCAGGAUAGCUAAAGCUAUCCUCAACAAUAAAAGGACUUCAGGGGGAAUCACUAUCCCUGAACUCAAGCAGUAUUACAGAGCAAUAGUGAUAAAAACUGCAUGGUAUUGGUACAGAGACAGACAGAUAGACCAAUGGAAUAGUAUUGAAGACCCAGAAAUG